CCACCAGGAUUGUCAAUGACCGGACGUCUUUAAUAGGCAUCCCUCAGCCUUUCCGACCACUCUGCACCAAAUGCUCACAGAUUCAAAGGAAGCCUAGCCUGAAGGGUUAGGGAACUGUCCCUCGUCCCUCGAUCCAAGUCCUUACUGCAGACCAAACUCUUUGGCUGUAUUGACAAUGUGCAAGCAAGUGUACCACUGAUUCAUCUGUGCUAUGACAAAGUGGACAACAACGUUGGUUUGGCCGGUUAGCAUGCAGCAAAGCAGGAGGCUGACCGUCAGACCACAGAGCUCUCCAGCAAGGCAUGGUAGCAGCCAAAGGUCCAAGCGUAGUCACAAAGUUUCUGGGUCGAUGGAAUCAAGAUACGGAGUCGUGGUACGUGGUAUGAUACUUGCGAGAGAUUUUUAUACUUCGGGUCGAAAAAUAAACCCGUGAACCCGAGUCGGGGUCGACGAACCCGGGUCGAGGGUCGAAGGUGGUGAUCCUGUUUUAUUUUAAUAUGGGUCCAAGCAUGAAGCAGAGGGCCCAAUAACAAGGCACGGUGGUAGCAGCAGCAAGCAGGCAAAGUGAGUCGGUGUCUUCAACUAUUACUGUUUCGUGAUCGAUCUCGCGGAAUCUGUUUGGAUAGCAGCAGCAAGCAAGCAGUGAAUCUGUUUGGGCACUUCCGUAGUUCCCCUUAUUCCACCAGUUCAGACAACCAGCUCAGAUUUAAGAGCUUGCAACUGUUGUACUUCAUGUUCCUUUGUCUUCUGAACUGUUUCGUGAUCAAUCUUGGAAAUUCCUGGCCAAAACAAAAACGAUGCCAAUCAGAACGCAAAUUUUUUAGACCAAACACCAUUAAAAGAGUUUGCUGGGGAAACCAGCUUUACAAAGACAGGUACUUAAAAGUGCUCAGAGCACCACCCUCACAGCUCUCAACAAAGUUCUACCAGAAUAGCUCCAUUACAAGAUGCAAAAAAGCUUAACAGGGAUGUAAAAACAUAUCAGGACGCGAAUUUCCUGUCCUGUUUUCAUCUCUAAGCAGAACUAAAGCACUUGAACAGCUAAUGAAAAUGUAGUUGCCACUUGCGAGGCCACAUGGUCCUGUUGCCUAGCAACCAUAGCCAACCAUCAUGAGCACAAAAUGUUGAAUGGCAACCAUCAUGAGCACAAAGUGUUGGAACCCAAAAUGGUUAUGUUUCUUCUUUAUAUAUAAGCCAGCUCCAUGCCCAACAUGCUGAUUCAGAGUUUAGUAGGCUUCCUUUGAUUGAAACUACCAAGAACCAGAGAGCAGAGUGACCAAUAAGAGGCUACUUGUGGUCUACUAGUAGCAUAUAUAUGAUUUUCCACACGUACUACAUGGAGAGAAGAAUGAAAAAACUACAUGUUUUUUAUUAGAAGAUUGUAUGAUUAGGAGGCAGAAGGAUUGAAUUUGGAAUAGUUUAGAUGCUCCAACUAACCACAUUUGAAGUUCCGUCUAUGGGCGUGGACAAGACAAACAGAUGCAUAGAACUGACUCUCUCGAUUCUUCGACACGAGCUGAAGAGUGGAUAUCCUAACUCCUAAGCGGCUGCUCGUUCAGCUGAUUAACUCAAGAGAGUGGCGCUUGCAUGCAGAGACAUGCAGCAAUGCAAAGGCUGUCACUCUGUUAGCAUGCAGCCAUGCAGAAGGCUGACCGAACAGAUCACAGAGCUCUCCAGGAUGCAGACAUGGUAGCUGCCAAAGGUCCAAGCAGUGAAGCAGAUGGCCAUGGCAUGGUGAUAGCAGCAGAAAGCACGCUCAGCGCGUUCAGGCACUUCUGUAGAUCAUUUUAUUUCACCUUAUUUUUUCAACAAAGGAAGAUUUUGUUAAAUUUUUAAGCGC
rnacentral:lncRNA from 1 species